rnacentral:lncRNA from 1 species
GUCUAUUCGAAGACAUCGCAUUAUGUCGUCAAGGUUAUUUAAAUCAACCCUGUUAAACUCAUUAAAGUGUUGCGUAAUAUGUUACAAUCAGUUACUUAACAUCGAACCAUCUUCUAGAAAAGAGAAUUUAAAUGGCAAGUUACGGAAAAAAAUUGCUAUUCUAGCAUCUCAAAUGCAUUCUUUAAGAACGAACUUUUCCUUAAUUGAUGACACAAUUUUCGGGUCGGCAUCUUAUUGUCAACGAGUAAUCAUUUGUGGUGUCGCUUGUCCUCAUCAGUUGAGCUUAACACUACAUCCUGUGUCCUCGUCUGUUUCUUAACGAGAUUCGUAGUCUUUCUUAUUAUUAUCAUAUAAACGACUUACGUAAGACGUUCCUGUCUAUACAUAACACUUUUCGUGUUUCGUAAUUAAAACUCACUAAAUGUUAAAAAAAAUUUACUAAAAAAACAAAAAUGUAGCGUUAAACUUUGUUUUGUAUAAUAUUUGUAUGUAAAAUAAGUUAAUACUUUUAUGCCAC